AGCGAACGCUGGCGGCAGGCUUAACACAUGCAAGUCGAGCGGGCACUUUCGGGUGUCCGCGGCGGACGGGUGAGUAACGCGUGGGAACGUGCCCUCUGGUUCGGAAUAACUCAGGGAAACUUGAGCUAAUACCGGAUACGCCCUUUUGGGGAAAGGCUUGCUGCCGGAGGAUCGGCCCGCGUCUGAUUAGCUAGUUGGUGAGGUAACGGCUCACCAAGGCGACGAUCAGUAGCUGGUCUGAGAGGAUGAUCAGCCACACUGGGACUGAGACACGGCCCAGACUCCUACGGGAGGCAGCAGUGGGGAAUAUUGGACAAUGGGCGCAAGCCUGAUCCAGCCAUGCCGCGUGAGUGAUGAAGGCCUUAGGGUUGUAAAGCUCUUUUAUCCGGGACGAUAAUGACGGUACCGGAGGAAUAAGCCCCGGCUAACUUCGU
rnacentral:rRNA from 1 species